AUUUAGAGAGUUUUAGAUGUGAAUAUGAAGUGGAUUCUACUAAUACUUAUGGAAUUUACCCCCUCCUAUUUUCCCCCCGCCAUUGUAACUUCUGUUCUCACCAACAAGCUCAUUUUAAUUGAAUUAACAUACCAGUCGACUGUAGCAUACUGGAAUUAGAACUGUAUGGUUGGCUCAGAUUUAUUUCAUGCUAUAUCACAGUAUGAACUUGAGGAAUGAUUUCCAGGAGACUAAUUAUCACAUUAUACUGAACUGCGCUGUAAUUACAAUAAGUAGAGCAACAGGAUUCUUUUUUAUCUUUUCCAAGUUAGUUGUUGCAUUUUUUGAGCCCCUUAAUGAAACUUAAAAAAAAAAAAAGGAAAAGAAGAAUGCCAGAAUUGUCACUAAUGUUCUUUAAGAAGUGACAGAAAUACUCCUGGACCCUUGAUACUUGUGAAAGCGGGUGUGAGUGCGAUGACUAUUGUAAUUUUGGGAGCUGUUGUCCCUGGGCCGAGCAGCUACCUUUUCAAAUUCUAAAUUGCUCAUAACUACGAUCACCACCUCAACGAGAAAACGAAAUAUUGAGGAAUUUCAAUUUAAUGCUGUUUGCAAUAUGAAGCUUGUACACAGGCGGGUUAAUUUUCUUGCACGGGUUAAAAUCUGUAUUCAGGCAGAAAUAACUAUAUCCAUCUUUUUUCAAAAUUUAGAAUGUACUUUUCUUAUUGCAGAGGCAGCUUCCAAACAUGGAAAUCAACUUUUUGCAGGCAUCAGGAUAAAUGAAGUUACAGUGUCCUGUUCAGAAUGAAUUUAUGCUGUUUUGUGAAGUAGCUUGAUUUUCCUGUUGCACUGCUAACUGCUAAUGACCACUCUGGGUUUGAUAGCUCAGAACAGACGAGGUAGGUUUUCUUCUCAAUUCUCCUUGCAAAUGUUUCUUCUGUCAGCACACCCUCAGUGCUACUGAACUUUUGUUCAACUCUGAAUUUUAACACAGUGGCAUUCCGAGCCUCAUGGUAGUAGAUUCUCC
rnacentral:lncRNA from 1 species